GACGAACGCUGGCGGCGUGCCUAAUACAUGCAAGUAGAACGCACAGGAUGCACCGUAGUUUACUACACCGUAUUCUGUGAGUUGCGAACGGGUGAGUAACGCGUAGGUAACCUGCCUGGUAGCGGGGGAUAACUAUUGGAAACGAUAGCUAAUACCGCAUAAGAACAUUUACUGCAUGGUAGAUGUUUAAAAGGUGCAAGAGCAUCACUACCAGAUGGACCUGCGUUGUAUUAGCUAGUUGGUGAGGUAACGGCUCACCAAGGCAACGAUACAUAGCCGACCUGAGAGGGUGAUCGGCCACACUGGGACUGAGACACGGCCCAGACUCCUACGGGAGGCAGCAGUAGGGAAUCUUCGGCAAUGGGGGGAACCCUGACCGAGCAACGCCGCGUGAGUGAAGAAGGUUUUCGGAUCGUAAAGCUCUGUUGUUAAGGAAGAACGUGUGUGAGAGUGGAAAGUUCACACAGUGACGUACUAACCAGAAA
rnacentral:rRNA from 1 species